UCUCCAACCCAUCUACAGCCAAUGAAAAUUAGAUGAAAUCCCCAUAAAUCCCAUGCGAAAACAAGGCCCACGACCGAUUCUUCAAAAAUGGGUCACCCAACACGAAGUUCACUACCCGAAUUCUUAAAAAAUCACCCGACUCUUCAAUUCAAAAACACGCGACCACGAAGGAAAGAAAAGAAAAUCGUCUGCGCUCUUCAUCUUCUUCUUCUCCAUUUCCAUUGCCGCUAUUGCUUCUUCAUUUUCACUUCUUCUUCUUCUGCCGAUGUUUCUUCUUCUAUGAACAAAUACGGUCGAAUCACACAAGAUGAAAAGCAACAAAAAGAAUGAUAAAAGGAGAAUCAUCAACAAAAUCUCCAACAAAAAGAAAUGAAAACUUGAAAAGCAAGGAAAUGAAGCCAAAGGUAUCAAGGGACUUUUGUUGCUGAUAAAUACUUAAAUAGACAAAUUACUUCUGCUGUGAUAUUAUUUCUUUAUUUUAUUUUGUUUUAGAUUUGUUUGUAUUUGGUUGUGUUUGUGUUUGUAUAAUGUUCUCGUUCUUCUGAUAGAUAGAGAUAGAAUAAUAUCAUUGUUUAUCAGUGACAAACGUUAGUCUAUCACUAUCUAUCAUUGAAAGACAGUGAUAUUGUUCUA